rnacentral:rRNA from 1 species
UACGUAGGGUGCGAGCGUUAAUCGGAAUUACUGGGCGUAAAGCGUGCGCAGGCGGUUUUGUAAGCCAGAUGUGAAAUCCCCGGGCUUAACCUGGGAAUGGCAUUUGGGACUGCAAGGCUCGAGUGCGGCAGAGGAGACUGGAAUUCCUGGUGUAGCAGUGAAAUGCGCAGGAUAUCAGGAGGAACACCCAUAGCGAAGGCAGCUCGCUGGGACGGUACUGACGCUGAGGCGCGAAAGCGUGGGGAGCGAACAGG